UACGAAGGGGGCUAGCGUUGUUCGGAAUCACUGGGCUUAAAGCGCGCGUAGGCGGAUCUUUAAGUCAGGGGUGAAAUCCUGGAGCUCAACUCCAGAACUGCCUUUGAUACUGGGGAUCUCGAGUCCGGAAGAGGUGAGUGGAACUCCGAGUGUAGAGGUGAAAUUCGUAGAUAUUCGGAAGAACACCAGUGGCGAAGGCGGGUCUCUGGACAGUUCCUGACGCUGAGGCACGAAGGCCAGGGGAGCAAACGGG
rnacentral:rRNA from 1 species